rnacentral:rRNA from 1 species
AUUGAACGCUGGCGGAAUGCUUUACACAUGCAAGUCGAGCGGCAGCGCGGGGGCAACCCUGGCGGCGAGCGGCGAACGGGUGAGUAAUGUAUCGGAACGUACCCAGUCGUGGGGGAUAACUAUCCGAAAGGAUAGCUAAUACCGCAUACGACCUGAGGGUGAAAGCGGGGGACCGUAAGGCCUCGCGCGAUUGGAGCGGCCGAUAUCGGAUUAGCUAGUUGGUGAGGUAAAGGCUCACCAAGGCGACGAUCCGUAGCUGGUCUGAGAGGACGACCAGCCACACUGGAACUGAGACACGGUCCAGACUCCUACGGGAGGCAGCAGUGGGGGAAUUUUGGACAAUGGGGGGCAACCCUGAUCCAGCCAUUCCGCGUGAGUGAAGAAGGCCUCGGUUGUAAGUACGUCUUCUAGCAUCGACGAAG